rnacentral:rRNA from 1 species
AUUGAACGCUGGCGGCAGGCCUAACACAUGCAAGUCGAGCGAACGGCGGACGGGUGAGUAAUGUCUGGGAAACUGCCUGAUGGAGGGGGAUAACUACUGGAAACGGUAGCUAAUACCGCACCCCAUCCGAUGUGCCCCGAUGGGAGUAGCUAGGAGGUGGGGUAACGGCUCACGUAGGCGACGAUCCCUAGCUGGUCUGAGAGGAUGACCAGCCACACUGGAACUGAGACACGAUCCAGACUCUUACGGGAGGCAGCAGUGGGGAAGAUUGCACAAUGGGCGCAAGCCUGAUGCAGCCAUGCCGCGUGUGUGAAGAAGGCCUUCGGGUUGUAAAGCACUUUCAGCGGGGAGGCGUUACCCGCAGAAGAAGCACCGGCUAACUCCGUGCCAGCAGCCGCGGUAAUAC